UUGACACCUCUGUCCUAAAGCUUCAUCCUGAGAUCUGCUGCUUUGAUUAUUCAACUAUUGUUUCCUUUCCUAAUACGAUGUAAAUAAAGAGUGAUCCUGCUGCAGUCUACUCCGGAGUGAGGACAGGAGACGUCAGUUAUGGACAAAUAGUGAUUAAAGACAAGAAGAGCAACAGGAAGAAAGAGAGAGAUCCAGCUCCAGUCUACGCAGCAGUGAGACAAGCAGAAGACGUCAGUUAUGGACAAAUAGUCCUCAAAUCAAACAGGACCAGAGAGUCUCCAGCAGAGCCAGAGGUCCACUACUCCUCCCUGAGGU